AAGUCCAUUCCUUUUUUUUUAGUUGUUUAUUUUGUUUCUUUGUUUUUUUUUAGUUCUUGUUUAUAGGUUUGGAUCGCUGUUGACUCAACAGUUGACAGCUUGUGGUCCAGUGGAGGAAAAGUAAUUUCAUCUUCCCCUUAGUAUUGGGUUCGAUACCCACAUAGGGCAUUUCAUUUCUUUUAUCAUUCAUUUUUCUCAUGCUUAUGUUUUAGUAUAAUUUAUCCCGUACUCAUAGCUUCAUCAUCAUUUAGUAAUGCAAAUUUG
rnacentral:lncRNA from 1 species